GUACGGGUGAAGAGUCCCAAACCAGGACGAAACAGCUGUCCAGUAC
rfam:Trichobilharzia regenti genome assembly, scaffold: TRE_scaffold0007110